ensembl:snoRNA small nucleolar RNA SNORA17
AUAGCUGGAGAGGCAUUGGAAAUAUGGUCGGCAUGUCAAACGUGCACCAGUAAGUGGCAGAGAGGAGAGGCUAUGACUAUGUUCAUUGACCUGUGAAAUUGACCUGUGAAUGAUUGGUAGUCAAAUUUC